rnacentral:rRNA from 1 species
UACGUAGGGCGCGAGCGUUGUCCGGAAUUAUUGGGCGUAAAGAGCUCGUAGGCGGCCUGUCGCGUCCGCUGUGAAAUCCCGGGGCUUAACCCCCGGGCCUGCAGUGGAUACGGGCAGGCUGGAGGCAGGUAGGGGAGAAUGGAAUUCCCGGUGUAGCGGUGAAAUGCGCAGAUAUCGGGAGGAACACCGGUGGCGAAGGCGGUUCUCUGGGCCUUACCUGACGCUGAGGAGCGAAGCGUGGGGAGCGAACAGGG